GCAGGGUCCGCACAUGCCGCAGCUGCAUCGCGCCGAGCGCCGGGACCGGGACCGGGACCGGGACCGCCGCCGUCGCCGCCGGACCCAACUCGCCCCGCCCCCCGUUGCCCGGCAACCCCAGCGCCUCCGCCGCUGCUGACGUCAGCGCGCCGAGUCCAGCAGCGGCCCCGCCCCCCCGCCGCGAUACCGGCAGAGCUUGGCUCCGGCUCCGGCUCCGGCAUGGAGGCGCUGCGGGCGGCAGGGCGCGCCGUGCUGCGGAGCCCGCGCCUCGCCCGGCACGGCCUGGGGCUCCGCCGGCGGCGCAAGCUUCCUGAGAGCUGGGCUGAUAUGCAGGAGCCGCUGCUUGAUGGGAUGUGCUUCACACUCAAGUAUCUAGGCAUGACACUGGUAGAAAAACCCAAAGGAGAAGACAUGGCUGCUGCUGCCAUCCGCCGGAUUGUUGCCACGGCACGGGUGGGAGCUCGCAAGUUCCAGAAGGUGAUUCUGACAGUGUCUCCAAGGGGCAUCUCGCUGCAGGAUGCAGACACAAAGGAGAUGGUUGAGAACAUCUCCAUCUACAGGAUCUCCUACUGCACAACAGACAAGCUGCAGAACAAAGUCUUCGCUUAUGUUGCCCAGAGCCAGGAGAGCGGGGCGCUGGAGUGCCAUGCUUUUCUCUCGCCCAAGAAGAAGAUUGCCCAGGCUGUGACUCUGACUGUGGCCCAGGCCUUCCAGAUGGCACUGGAUCUCUGGGAAGCAGCACAUGCAGGCUCUAGGCAGGAACAGCCCUUUCACCCUUCAUGUGUCUUGGAGAGCAGUGAGCCCGGCAGACCAAGUGAGCCAGCCCCCCCGGGGAGCCCUCCCUUCAGACACCAGUUUGGGGUACAGAGGAGGAAGAGGAGGAGGAAGAUAACAUCUGUGAAACCGUAUCUGGCCAGUCACACCAUCACAGAAGGCUAUCAGGUUGGUCAAGCAUGGUCCUGCCUUGGUGAAUCCAUGUUGACUGGGGAUGACCUCCAGGAUGAACUGCUCCAUCACCUUUCUGGGAAAGAAGGAGAGACUGCAUCAAGGAUCUCUGAUGUUCAGAGAUCUCUCUGGUGAACCCUGUCUUGUUUCCUUCUCUAUCCCCCAUGCAAGGGGAGCUGCUGGGGCCAUGGGCAUGGUAGGAGCAUGGAGGAGAUCUGCAUAGGAGCAGGGGGGAGCUUCCUGCUGCUCUCUCUGCCUCUGUCAGCUGAGAGAUCAAGUGCUGCUGUGGAGGGGCACAUCUUGCAGUUCAGCUUUUGUAGUGGAGCUGUUGGGGAUAGAUGCUGACCCGCAGGAUGUAUCCAGAGAUGUUACUUGCUCAUUUUCUGUCACUCUUUUCUGAGGUCAACCUAUCCAGACACGCUUAGAAUCAUAGAAUCGUUUAGGUUGGAAAAGGAAGACCUUUAAGAUCAUAAGGUCCAACCGUUUACCUAGCACUGCCAAGUCCACCACUAAACCAUGUCCUUAAGCACCACAUCUACAUGUCUUUUAAAUACCUCCAGGGAUGGUGACUCAAUCACUUCCCUGGGCAGCCUGUUUCAAUGCUUGGUGGCCCUUUCAGUGAAGAAUUUUUUCCUAAUAUCCAGUCUAAACCACCCCUGGUGCAACUUGAGGCCCUUUCCUCUUGCGCUAUUGCUUGUUACUUGGGAGAAACAACCAACACCCACCUCGCUACAGCCUCUGUUUAGGCAGUUGUAGAGAGCGAUAAGGUCUCCCCUGAGCCUCCUUUUCUCCAGGCUGAACCCUUCCAGCUCCCUCAGCUGCGCCUCUAAGACUUGUUCUCUAGACCUUUCACCAGCUUUGUUGCCCUUCUCUGGACACACUGCACUGCUUUAAUGUCUUGUAGUGAGGGGCUUCUCAGGUGGGACUCAGAGUUGUCCCUCUCCUCCCACUGAUUUCCCUGGGGCUUGCCAGGAUGGAGGCCUGCUGAUGCUGACUUCUGUGUGGACUAGUGCCUGGGGCUGAGCUUGGUGGUGUCUGUCAUGUGCUUCAGAGGAGCUGAUGGUGCCAGUCCCGCAGUGGAGGAUUAACCCAGAGGUCCCUGCAGCAGUGCCUGUGGUGGUGGGUGCGAGAGGCCUCUUCCGUUGUGGCUGUUCACCAUGUGCCUGGCAGUUGGCACCUGGAUGGGGUCUGUCAGAGCUGCAGGGCUGAGCCUGGUCUGAGCUGGUGUCAGCUGGGAACCAGUGCAUGCACAGACUGGAGCAAUGGAUGUGGCCCUGUGAAGUGGCAGCUCCUGAUGGGAAGGAGAUGUGGCUUUGCAGCCUCGGGACAGGCUGGCCUGGGGAAAGGGUUUGGUAGCAAGUGGGCUAGGGCCUUCUGCACUGAGUGCCUGGUACUGCGGUGCCAUGCCUCGUCGUCAGGGUCAUGAGCAUGCCGUGUCUCUCAGCAGGCCUUGCUUGGGGUAUGAUGGGUACUCUGUUCUCUUCCAAAGCAGCAUGGAGGAGCUGGGGAGGGGAGCCCACAGCCCAGCAGAGUCAGCACCUCUCGUGCCCAGAGCAAGCUCGCCUACUGCACAGCUACUGUGCUACCACUCGG